rnacentral:rRNA from 1 species
GUAGGGAAUCUUCGGCAAUGGACGAAAGUCUGACCGAGCAACGCCGCGUGAGUGAAGAAGGUUUUCGGAUCGUAAAACUCUGUUGGUAGAGAAGAACGUUGGUGAGAGUGGAAAGCUCAUCAAGUGACGGUAACUACCCAGAAAGGGACGGCUAACUACGUGCCAGCAGCCGCGGUAAUACGUAGGUCCCGAGCGUUGUCCGGAUUUAUUGGGCGUAAAGCGAGCGCAGGUGGUUUAUUAAGUCUGGUGUAAAAGGCAGUGGCUCAACCAUUGUAUGCAUUGGAAACGGGUAGACUUGAGUGCAGGAGAGGAGAGUGGAAUUCCAUGUGUAGCGGUGAAAUGCGUAGAUAUAUGGAGGAACACCGGUGGCGAAAGCGGCUCUCUGGCCUGUAACUGACACUGAGGCUCGAAAGCGUGGGGAGCAAACAGGAUUAGAUACCCUGGUAGUCC